UCUGACGGAGCAACGCCGCGUGAACGAAGAAGGUCUUCGGAUUGUAAAGUUCUGUGAUUCGGGACGAAAGGGUUUGUGGUGAAUAAUCAUAGACAUUGACGGUACCGAAAAAGCAAGCCACGGCUAACUACGUGCCAGCAGCCGCGGUAAUACGUAGGUGGCAAGCGUUGUCCGGAAUUAUUGGGCGUAAAGCGCGCGCAGGCGGUUUCUUAAGUCCAUCUUAAAAGCGUGGGGCUCAACCCCAUGAGGGGAUGGAAACUGGGAAGCUGGAGUAUCGGAGAGGAAAGUGGAAUUCCUAGUGUAGCGGUGAAGUGCGUAGAGAUUAGGAAGAACACCGGUGGCGAAGGCGACUUUCUAGACGAAAACUGACGCUGAGGCGCGAAAGCGUGGGGAGCAAACAGGAUUAGAUACCCUGGUAGUCCACGCCGUAAACGAUGGAUACUAGGUGUAGGAGGUAUCGACCCUCCUGUGCCGGAGUUACGCAUAGUAUCCCGCCUGGAGUAGAUCGCAGAUUAAACUCAAAGGAAUUGACGGGGCCCGCACAAGCGGUGGAGUAUGUGGUUUAAUUCGACGCAACGCGAGAACCU
rnacentral:rRNA from 1 species